AACCCAAUGAUCAUUUUGUAAAACUUCGCCUACAGCGUCUCCCAGUGAGAGAACCCAGCGCGGGAUUACUUGAGGGGAAAUAAGACAUAGAACCCCGUGUCCUUCAUGUCCCAAUAGCGAUGUCCACGUACCAAGUAAGGUCACUGGAGGAGGCGGACCAAAUCAUCAGGGAGCACGAGAGAAAGACCAAGACUACAUACGCCCUUCUGCGGUCCACCAAGAACUUCGGCUGUGUGGAUGUCCCAGCAUGUGCCAACGAUGAGAACGAGGUGCGCUUCGAGACGGUGGGUGUGCCAUACUGCGGAGUGCCGUUUUUUGUGGCCGGACUCAAGAUCCUCCAGUGCCAGUCCUACAGAGUGCGAGGCGGAAGGAAAAAGAAAGAGAUAAAGAUUGAGUUGACUGGUUCAGGUGCGGGCGUGAUUGGUGAGGCAGGGGUGGGGGAUGCUGGGGGAGAAGAGGACGGGGACUCGCUGCAGCCCAAGCCAAUGGUCAAGAAAAAGAAGAAGGCCGGCCGCACCCACAAGGUCAGCUGCACUGCCACCAUCAUCAUGAAGGAGGUCAUCUAUUACCCAGAGUUCCAGCUCUUUGAACACUCGAAGAACAACCGCAUUGCCGUGGCGCGCCAGCUGAAGGAUGCCCUCAAGUCCAAGGCGCCGGUGCAGAAGGACAGGAUAAUAUAUGUGACAGUGCCAGCCAUGUCAGACCACUUUGGACACACUGUUGGGCUGGGCACAUCCAAGCAGCAGGGUGGCAAGCGGCUGUUUGUCAAGAAUGACUUCUACGGCCACAAUGAGCCUGGCUCCAGCAACCGAGUGUACUACCCAGUGAAGCAGGAGAAGCUCAACGUGGCCCAGCUGGCCCGCCGGAUGAAAGUGGAUGAGGACGACACAGAGGCUCGGGCCAGAGAAGUGAGGGAGAUUCUACAGAGCAUCAUGGGCCUCACAUAUAAGCAACCGGGAACAACGGAAGCAUACCGGGAGCUGCACAAAGACCUGAGCCAAGCCAGACUCAAGUACCAGCAGACCAUGGACACGCUGCUUGGAGGGCCACCCGUCGCCCAGAUCCAUGUGGUGGACGGCCUAGUGAGCCAAAAUGGAGAUCCUCUUGAAUCAGCACCCCAAGCAAACACUGCAGGGGAGACGUGGCCAGUCACCCGCGCCACAGUAGUCACCACCACCACGGGGGUCAAUGCAUCCCAGGCAGUGGCUGUGUCCUCGCCCACCACCACCACCACCACAAUCGCUGCCGUGCCACAAGUCCAGCAGAACCCAAAUGCAGGAGCUGCCACUACUGCCCCCACUGAUGGCAAUAACCAGGAGACCAGCAUCUUCAUUGAGGCCAUGGAAGCAAUCUUAAACUCUCAAAUGUAAUGGGUGCUGGCUGGCUGAGUGGCUGACUGGCUGCAUGGCUGGCUGAUUGGCUGGGUGGCCGGCUGUGUGGGUGUGGCAGCGCUGGUGGGGCUGAGCUCUCUGCUAUCUUCUUCUAGUGCAUUAUACUGUAUGAUGGAUGUAAUAGACUAGUUUCAUCUUUUUCUCAUCUCUCCUGGGCAGCUGUGUGUGUGUGUGUGUGUGUGUGUGUGUGUGUGUGUGUGUGUGUGUGUGUGUGUGUGUGUGUGUGUGUUGUAACAAUCAUUUCUUCAUGCGAUAGUUGUGUAGGGGAAAUGCAGGUUAGUUGUAUGAUUAUUAUAGAUAUUUGAGGAGAAUUCACUCAAUAGGUAUGUGCAUGUCCCCUCCCCCCUCCCCCUUCCUCUCUCUCUCUCUCUCUCUCUCUCUCUCUCUCUCUCUCUCUCUCUCUCUCUCUCUCUCUCUCUCUCUCUCUCUCUCUCUCUCUCUCUCUCUCUCUCUCUCUCUCUCUCUCUCUCUCUCUCUCUCUCUCUCUCUCUCUCUCUCUCUCUCAUAUUGGAUCCUUUUAAUGACAAUUUUUAUGCAGCUUUCUCGUACUAGAAAAUUACAUCUAUAUUUUUGAUAGUUUGUUUUGUUUAUUUUCUGACUCAUAUUUAUCACACACUGGUAUAUAUCUGUGCGUUCAUAUCUCAGCAGUACAGCUCUGACACUUCCUUGCACUUGUUAACAUUGGAAACUAUUACUGUACAUACUUGUCCAUCACUCCUGGAUGCCUAACACUUCCUGACAUGCUCUCACCAGUGGAGUUAUGUACAUACUUGUGCCACAUUCAGCAAUGUACACUGACACUGUAAUAUAUAUCCCCAGCACUAAAAAUUUUUUAUACUUGGGUUAAGUGCAGGUUACUUUAAGAACUUCACAAAAUAAGGGAAGCUGUAAAAAGCCAUCAGGCCAACACACAGCAAUCUGUUUGAAGGCCAUGCCACACUGGAAGAAGGAAUCUUGUAGCUCCACUUGUUGUUAGCUGUGUGUUGAGUGGACCAUCCAGGCAUCUUAGGGUCCAGAGGCACAGAUUCUGGAAGGCUGAGGUGGACAUGUGGUGGUGAGUGGACCACCCAGGCGUCUUAGGGUUUAGACGCACAGGUUCUGGAAGGUGGAGGUGGAUGUGUGGUGGUGAGUGGGCCAUCCAGGUGUCUUGGGGUUCAACACAGGUUCUGGAAGGCUAAGGUGGAUGUGUUGAGUUUUUGACACUUCAUCUUGGUAGAAAUGUUUGUGUCUAGUAAGUUGCUUCUUUAUUUUCAUUUUAUGUUUCAUUGCUACAUUUAUUUAUCAUCACAUUUACCUUUUUUUUCAGGAUGACUUGAAAUGUAUUUUUAGAUUAGCUCAGAGCAAUAUUUUUUAUUGAUUUAUUUAUUUUUCUAUGCAUGUGUUUCGUGGAAAUCUUCCUUAAAGGUAGGUUAACAACAUUCAGAAAUGGGUGCUUUACAUAUAUGGAGUAAUUAUGAUCUGUUCUGAAGGCCAUACAUAUCAUCUACAAUAUCAUUGCUGCUUCUUUUGCCAGUUUGUUGAUUCUAUCUCUGUCUAGGUACCAGGCUGGCAAUCCCCCACUGGGUGAGUGAGGCGAGGCACCACACACUACACAAUGUGAUGUAGCUCAGUAAUUGACAACGUGGCAGUGCAAGGGUCACGAGGAGGCACAGCCGGGCCUGCCUGGGGCUGAUCAUGGCCAGGGAACAGUUCUCAGGUGCUCAGAAAAGAAGUUAUGUCAUUGUGGGACUGUAAAUAAUUCUGGAAGUAUAGUUUACAUAAUAUAUCUAAGUUAGGAUGAAAACAUAUACCCUGUGUGGUAAAUGGGUACUUUAUUUUACAUAUGUAUGUAUGUAUGUAUGUAUGUAUUAUGUACAUGACACUUUGUCUGAUAAUGUUUUGAGUUAUUGUUUCAGUAUUGUCAUUGGUUUAUUAUCAUGUGUACAUUUUUAGCUGUAUAGUAGUUGUUCCUUCACUGUACAAACAAAAGUAUAUAAAUAUAAAUAUAUAUCAGUA
rnacentral:misc_RNA from 1 species